UACGUAGGGGGGCAAGCGUUGUCCGGAAUCAUUGGGCGUAAAGCGCGUGUAGGCGGCUCGAUAAGUCUGCUGUAAAGUCCAGGGCUCAACCCUGGAAAGCCGGGUGGAAACUGUCGAGCUAGAGUCCGGAAGAGGCGAGUGGAAUUCCUGGUGUAGCGGUGAAAUGCGCAGAUAUCAGGAAGAACACCCCGUGGCUAAGGCGGCGUCUCUAGUACGGUACUGACGCUGAGACGCGAAAGCGUGGGGAGCGAACAGG
rnacentral:rRNA from 1 species